UUUUAUUCCUAGUCUAUGUGGUCUUGCAGAAAAAUGAAUCGCUUAACUCUUUGUGAGCAGGACUCCUCCAUCCUUGUAGUGGGGAAGGGCACAGCCUCUCUACUGUCUGCAUAUCUGAUUAUGCACAGAGGCUCUGUAUUAUGGAAGGAAUGAAACAAAAAAUGUAAACUAAUCUGUGGCAUUCAGCACCAAGGAGUUCCUGUGCCAGUGAGGAGGAGCCCUCUACUAGAGUGAUGGAGGUCUUAGUCGUACAUGGAAGCUGAUGGAGUUACUGUGGAAGCCAUGUUCUGAGUCUCAGUGGAGAAAGGUAGAGAGAAGACCUCUUCUAGUGGGGCAGACUGAAGCCCACACUGUUCCGUCCAAUACUGAGCUCACACUACCCACUUCAGUGGUCUGCCAAGUGAGUCCGGGUGGAGAGCACCUGUCUCUCUCCCCCAGGUGAGCCUCUUUAUUCAUGGGCUGUGCCCAAAGGUCCUAAAGCCCCAGAUCCAGUGGGGCAAAGACACCUCAGCAAGGAACAGG
rnacentral:lncRNA from 1 species